AUUGAACGCUGGCGGCAGGCCUAACACAUGCAAGUCGGACGGUAGCACAGAGGAGCUUGCUCCUCGGGUGACGAGUGGCGGACGGGUGAGUAAUGUCUGGGGAUCUGCCCGAUAGAGGGGGAUAACCACUGGAAACGGUGGCUAAUACCGCAUAACGUCGCCAGACCAAAGAGGGGGACCUUCGGGCCUCUCACUAUCGGAUGAACCAAGAUGGGAUUAGCUAGUGGGCGGGGUAACGGCCCACCUAGGCGACGAGCCCUAGCUGGUCCGAGAGGAUGACGAGCCACGCUGGAACUGAGACACGGUCCAGACUCCUACGGGAGGCAGCAGUGGGGAGUAUUGCACAAUGGGCGCAAGCCUGAUGCAGCCAUGCCGCGUGUAUGAAGAAGGCCUUCGGGUUGUAAAGUACUUUCAGCGGGGAGGAAGGCGAUGUGGUUAAUAACCGCAUUGAUUGACGUUACCCGCAGAAGAAGCACCGGCUAACUCCGUGCCAGCCGCCGCUGUAA
rnacentral:rRNA from 1 species